rnacentral:rRNA from 1 species
GAGGAAUAUUGGUCAAUGGACGGAAGUCUGAACCAGCCAUGCCGCGUGAAGGAUGAAGGCGUUCUGCGUUGUAAACUUCUUUUAUCUGGGAAGAAACCACAGAUUUCUAUUUGUGUUGACGGUACCAGAUGAAUAGGCACCGGCUAACUCCGUGCCAGCAGCCGCGGUAAUACGGAGGGUGCGAGCGUUAUCCGGAUUUACUGGGUUUAAAGGGUGCGUAGGCGGGCUAUUAAGUCAGAGGUGAAAUCUCCGGGCUCAACCUGGAAACUGCCUUUGAUACUAUUAGCCUUGAAUUAUGUUGAGGUUGGCGGAAUAUAACAUGUAGCGGUGAAAUGCUUAGAUAUGUUAUGGAACACCGAUUGCGAAGGCAGCUGGCUAAACAUAUAUUGACGCUGAUGCACGAAAGCGUGGGUAGCGAACA